GGGCAGGCAGGGCAAGGCUAUGUGACCUGCAGGUGGCAGUUCAGGCCCCAUCCCACCAGACCUUGGAGACAUCUCAGCAAGUCCUGGUGAAACACUGAGUGAAAUGUUUGUGCCUUUGCAGAUUUACAUCCCUAAGAGACACCCUGUACCCAAAGCUGGAUCUAAAUUUAGGUGGGUGCUGAGAUCCUCCCCCUCUUAAGAUCCUCUAAAAAUAGCUUCCCUGUGACUUAGGAAAUCUCUCUUGUUCAGGAAUACAAAUAUGCUCUGAUCUGAAUCCAACAGGAAAGCACGACAGGCGGGGAGAAGAAGCUGGUCUCUUAAGUGGGAGUGGAUGGUGAGGAGCCAUCCGAAUCCCACUCCUUGCCCCCUAGCAGGGAGGUGGUGUGGCUCCUCCCCACACAUGCACUCGCAUGAUACUUGUGCCUGACAGGGGGACUUCACCCUUGAGAUGCAGUGACAAUAGAAGAAGGCAGGUUUCACACGCCUGGGAUACAGAAAAUGCUGCAGAGAGAAAAAUACCGAAAACCUUAGAGAAGAAGGUUUAUGGAGUUACGUUGCCAUGGUGGCAGUUGAUUGAACUCCAUCUUGUUCCGAGAAACAGUCUCCUUGUGAGAGUGUUGCCAUGGAAACCAGAUGCGAUUAAGUGGUUUAUUGGAUGUAGCUGUCAUGGACCAACCUUCUAAGGCUGGGGCUUCAGGGUGCACCCUGGCUUUCAGGAACAAUUUGGCACACCUGGUGGAGGAGGCUGGGUUGCUGAUAAUGUGCACGUGUUGAAUUUCAUCUCACCAUGUAGAAAGGAGUCCUUGAGUGAUCACCAAGGCCAGCCUUGAGCUCAGCCUUUCCUCUCUCCUGACUGUGGGUUCAGAAAAGCAUUCAUCAUCUUGGUGAGUUCUCUGUAAGCUUUCCAAGUUCCGCCUGUUCCUCAUUUGUUCAGAGCGGACAGUUCUGUGGUGAGAGCCUGACCAGACAACGUGUCUCCUUAACCGCGCAAUGAGGUGUGUCGCCAGGGUUUCCUCCUGCAUCUGGCCUGCGUGGCUGCUCACCGGACACGUGGAUGGGUGGCUACUCCUAAGCAAAUGUGUGUCUGGGAUUCUUUUCAGAAAUGCCUGACAGCUAUUGAAGGUGACACACACUGAGUGGUUAGCAGCUGGGAGAGAGCUGGAGCAGAGGCUCAGAAAGGCCUGAGCUCAAAGAAGCAAGGAACUUAAGCUGGGCAUGGCGAUGCAGUCCUGUAAUGCCAGCACCCUGGGAGACUGAGGCAGGAUUCCAAGUUUGAAUGGGCUGGGAUACUAAGCAGGAGCCUGGGUCAGAUGAAAACAGGGGCUGAGGGUGGAGCUCAGUAGAAAGGUUUGGUCCCUGUACUGCAAAAAAUAAAAAGAAUAGAAAAAAAAAAAA